UACAGAGGUCUCAAGCGUUGUUCGGAUUCAUUGGGCGUAAAGGGUGCGUAGGCGGCGCGGUAAGUCGGGUGUGAAAUCUCGGGGCUUAACUCCGAAACUGCAUUCGAUACUGCCGUGCUUGAGGACUGGAGAGGAGACUGGAAUUUACGGUGUAGCGGUGAAAUGCGUAGAUAUCGUGAGGAAGACCGGUGGCGAAGGCGGGUCUCUGGACAGUUCCUGACGCUGAGGCACGAAAGCGUGGGGAGCAAACAGG
rnacentral:rRNA from 1 species